GAGGAAUAUUGGUCAAUGGGCGAGAGCCUGAACCAGCCAAGUAGCGUGCAGGAAGACGGCCCUAUGGGUUGUAAACUGCUUUUAUGUGGGGAUAAAGUGAGCUACGUGUAGUUUAUUGCAGGUACCACAUGAAUAAGGACCGGCUAAUUCCGUGCCAGCAGCCGCGGUAAUACGGAAGGUCCAGGCGUUAUCCGGAUUUAUUGGGUUUAAAGGGAGCGUAGGCCGUGGAUUAAGCGUGUUGUGAAAUGUAGACGCUCAACGUCUGAAUUGCAGCGCGAGCUGGUUCACUUGAGUAUGCACAACGUAGGCGGAAUUCGUCGUGUAGCGGUGAAAUGCUUAGAUAUGACGAAGAACUCCGAUUGCGAAGGCAGCUGACGGGAGCACAACUGACGCUGAAGCUCGAAGGUGCGGGUAUCAAACAGGAUUAGAUACCCUGGUAGUCCGCACAGUAAACGAUGGAUGCCCGUUGUUAGUUCACUUAAGAAUUAGCGACCAAGCGAAAGCAUUAAGCAUCCCACCUGGGGAGUACGCCGGCAACGGUG
rnacentral:rRNA from 1 species